CUUUACUGUAGCUUGGUAUUGGGUUCGGGCUUGUCAUGCGCAGGAUAGGUGGGAGACUAUGAAGCUGCCCUUGUGGGGGCAGUGGAGUCAUCAGUGAGAUACCACUCUGUCAAGGCUAGAAUUCUAACCGUCUGCCGUUAUCCGGCGACGGAACAGUAUCAGGUGGGCAGUUUGACUGGGGCGGUCGCCUCCUAAAUGGUAACGGAGGCGCGCAAAGGUUCCCUCAGGCUGGUUGGAAAUCAGCCGAAGAGUGUAAAGGCAGAAGGGAGCUUGACUGCAAGAGCAACAACUCAAGCAGGGACGAAAGUCGGCCUUAGUGAUCCGACGGCGCUGAGUGGAAGGGCCGUCGCUCAACGGAUAAAAGUUA
rnacentral:rRNA from 1 species